rnacentral:lncRNA from 1 species
AGAAGUUMCAGUCCAUAGCAGUGCAGCUCAUCAGGAGAGACCCAUUUACCUUCUCUUCCCCUGUCCUCAAGCCUCACAGAUUUCUAGGAAUAAAACACCUCAUUUCAUUCUCAGAAUUUGAACACUAGAACGUGAAGAAUAGUUCCAAUCUUCCAGGGCAAUCACUGAAUAAUUCAUUAAUGAGACUUCAACUUCUAAGGAAGAGAUUGUUUAAUUGUUCAGGCCAACAGUGCAGCUCAGGAAUUGAUAUCCUUUACUGCAGAAGCAUAACACAAUCUCAAACCUCAUGGUCGCAGUUCAAGUACAGCCACGGACAGCGAUGUUAGGGGAGCGCUGGCUCUCUGUCAGGCUCUGCUGGCCUGAAGAGUGAGGUGAGCAUGUUUUCCAAAGAAUGACUAAGGCAGCUGCAAGAUAUAGGUUUCACUUUAUCAGUCCCUCAAGGAGAAAACAACUUUGCUUGCCAUUAAAGUCUGCCUGGAAGCUGCGAUAACUGUCCUGAAAAAUUAAAGGAUGGAAAUGGAAUUUCUGUAAAGUGUGUUCCAGUUCACCGCUCAGAAGCUGAAGCACCAAAGGGGAAGAAUAGCUGCUCCAAAUAUAUAGCCAUAAUCUGGGCAGAACCUUGCAAAAAAGUGACAUGCAAAACCUUGUGGAUCACGUGCAGACUUGAGUUGUCUCUUGGUCCACCACAUUAAGAGAGAGCAAGACUGCGAGAACAAAUACAAUCUGCAGGAGGUGCUCCUAGGAAAAAUAAUGAUGUAUUACGCAAUUUAUCUUGCUAGUGUUACUUCCUGUCUCCUUGCCUUGUCUUGGUGCUUUGCCCAACAAAGCUAUCGUCCACUGUAAAUGCAGUGGAGUAUGUCAAAAAGUAGCAAUGAGGAUUUAUGCAGGUAGAUUGCCAUUUGUUGACCACUGCUAAUGAUCAUAGCUGUCUGGGAGAAUGAGGAUGCAUGCGGCUGUGUCUGUCUGCUUGUGGUUCUUUUGAAAAAUUUUGACAGCGACUGCAAAAUGUCUCAACAGCCUUCGGCUCACCCAUCACUACUCACUGCCUCCAUUUGUGAUUCAGAGGGCUCACUUUUGAUGACUUAACUGGUGCCUUCUGCACAGAGCUGAGCUUAGAAGGAGGCUCCAAGUCAAGAUGGCAAGACCGUGUUGGCCGCAGACCCCAUCCUGCCGGGUGCCCAUGAGCGACUGCACGACU